AUUGAACGCUGGCGGCAUGCCUUACACAUGCAAGUCGAACGGCAGCACGGGUGCUUGCCCCUGGUGGCGAGUGGCGAACGGGUGAGUAAUACAUCGGAACAUGUCCUGUAGUGGGGGGUAGCCCGGCGAAAGCCGGAUUAAUACCGCAUACGAUCCACGGAUGAAAGCGGGGGACCUUCGGGCCUCGCGCUAUAGGGUUGGCCGAUGGCUGAUUAGCUAGUUGGUGGGGUAAAGGCCUACCAAGGCGACGAUCAGUAGCUGGUCUGAGAGGACGACCAGCCACACUGGGACUGAGACACGGCCCAGACUCCUACGGGAGGCAGCAGUGGGGAAUUUUGGACAAUGGGCGAAAGCCUGAUCCAGCAAUGCCGCGUGUGUGAAGAAGGCCUUCGGGUUGUAAAGCACUUUUGUCCGGAAAGAAAUCCUUGACUCUAAUACAGUCGGGGGAUGACGGUACCGGAAGAAUAAGCACCGGCUAACUACGUG
rnacentral:rRNA from 1 species